AUAAAGGCAAGACAGAGGAUGACUGUUAUAACUACAUCUGUCUGCUGGAGGUUCUGAAGGAUGGAAGGAUCUACGUUUGUGGCUCCUACGCCUACAACCCCCAGUGUGCUUUCAUAGACCCAGUGACGUUUGCCCUAGUGAAGGAAGGAGGUGACCAAGGGAAGGGGAAGUGUCCUUAUGAUCCCAGACAACCUCACACU